rnacentral:rRNA from 1 species
UACGGAGGGUGCAAGCGUUAUCCGGAUUCACUGGGUUUAAAGGGUGCGUAGGCGGAUAUCUAAGUCAGUGGUGAAAUCCUUGAGCUUAACUCGAGAACUGCCAUUGAUACUAUUUAUCUUGAAUAUUGUGGAGGUGAGCGGAAUAUGUCAUGUAGCGGUGAAAUGCUUAGAUAUGACAUAGAACACCAAUUGCGAAGGCAGCUCGCUACACAUAUAUUGACGCUGAGGCACGAAAGCGUGGGGAUCAAACAGG